GCAUUAAUAUAACUCCUCAUGCAUGUUCGUCUUAAGCUUCUUUUCUUUUUUGAACAGCAAAAGAUUAUAUCAUAUAAUAGAAGAUGAACAAAAGGACAAGUGGUACAGUACUCAAUCCAACCACCAAACAAGGGAUCUAAAGAACAAGAAAUACCCAAGAACCAAAACCAGAAACAGAAGGUUUUAAACCUUGAAAAAGAAACAAAUCCUUACCUAGAUAAACAAUCAAAUGGAUAUCCAUCCCAUUCAUAAAAGCUACAGACAUCAGCGUAGCUAGAAAAAAUAAACCACUCCAAAGUUACAUGCUUAAUUGCCUUGAAGCCUUGUUGUGGAAAAUUUGCGCAUUCCUUGCAAGCCAAACUCUCCAAGUAACAUCUUGCCAAAUCAUAUUAAGCCUCAUCUUCUGUUGUCUUCUCUGCCCCUGAAUUGAUGUAAUUUGUGCAGCCAUCUCAUUUGAGACACCUUGGUCCAAAUCUUUUCUUCAUGAGACAUCUAUAAAAUAUAUAAACAAAAAUCCUAAUAAGUUUAAUAGACCCAACAAUAUACCUAAAGAUAAUAAGACCAAAAUUUAAGGAAUUAAGCCUUGUAACCAUAGUAGAAAGUAACAAUAACAAAAUGUCAAGACUAGUCAAAAUGAACAUACCAACCAAUUAAUAUAAAAAAAAAACAAUUGUCACAACAAAUAUGCUAUCACUGAAUCUCCUACAAAUAAAGAAGUGUAUGAGUUAUCAACUCUACAAUAUAUACGAUUCAAAAAAUGGAAUUAAGAAAAAGAUAAACAAAACAUGAAUUAGCUGGUGAUAGAAACCAAUUAUCAUAAAAAUACACGUUUUUUAGAUCAUCACUGGACUUCCAAAAGCAAAUUAUCACAUUUCUCAAACCAUACCUCAGGAUCCCUUUCUAUCUCACGAGUGAGUUCUCCAAUUGAUCAAGGAACAGAGCAUACUUGUUGUCUGCANNNNNNNNNNN
rnacentral:lncRNA from 1 species